UCGUCUCCCUGUUUCUCUUUCUUCUUCCUCAUUCAUUUUCUUCUCCUUUCAUCACUUUCCAUUUCUCUUUCUCCCCUUUCAACCAAGUUCUUCUUCCUUUUACAAAGCAACCAUCUCCUUCUUUUCUUUUGUGUUCAUAUUUCAACACGAAAAAUAAAGUAAUGGGCAUGGAAACAAGAUGAAAAAGGUGUACUUUGAUAAUAAAUUUUUGAUUUUUUUUAUCCAACAAUGCCUUUCUUUUUCCCUUAAAUUGAUUAGCUGAUUUGGUAUUGUUUCUGGUUUUGAUUCAAAGUAUAGAACUUUAUGUUAUUGUUAAGUGUAAAAUCUGAUUUUACCUUAUAUGUAUGAAAGUUGAAUACUUUGGAACUUUUUUAUGGUUGUUGGUUUUUGUAGGUGGUAAAGAUGUCUAGAGACCGAAGGCGUCGUGUUUAUUGAUUUUGUUCUUGAUGAUGUUUGGAAAGAAGUUGAAAACAGUAAUUGCUUGCAGGAUAUGGUUUUCAAACUUUUGCUAAUAAUUUUAGAGUUUUGUUGGUUUUUGAAAUUGAUGGGUAUGCUAGUGCCCUUUUGAAAUUUUGAAAUGUGUUUUAAAAAUAAAGUGAAAUUAUACUUGAAAUUGUGUGUAAUUUUGAAGUUGGAUCUAGCCUUUAAUGUCAUGUUGUUUAUUGGAAAUUGAUUUAUUCGUGUCCUUUUGAUGUGUUUUCAUCAACAACAAUUUGAUGUAACCAUUUCACUUGCUCUAACUGAUCGCGACUUUAU
rnacentral:lncRNA from 1 species